rnacentral:rRNA from 1 species
UACGGAGGGUGCGAGCGUUGUCCGGAAUUAUUGGGCGUAAAGAGCUCGUAGGCGGCCUGUUGCGUCCGCUGUGAAAUCCCGGGGCUCAACCCCGGGCCUGCAGUGGAUACGGGCUGGCUGGAGGCAGGCAGGGGAGAACGGAAUUCCCGGUGUAGCGGUGAAAUGCGCAGAUAUCGGGAAGAACACCCGUGGCGAAGGCGGCUCUCUGGAACGCAACUGACGCUGAGACGCGAAAGCGUGGGGAGCAAACAGG